rnacentral:rRNA from 1 species
UGAUCCGGCAGAGGAUGGACAUGCGGCGCAUUAGCUAGUCGGCGGGGUAACGGCCCACCGAGGCUACGAUGCAUAGGGGUUCUGAGAGGAAGGUCCCCCACACUGGUACUGAGACACGGACCAGACUCCUACGGGAGGCAGCAGUGAGGAAUAUUGGUCAAUGGGCGGAAGCCUGAACCAGCCAAGUCGCGUGAGGGAAGACGGUCCUAUGGAUUGUAAACCUCUUUUGCAGGGGAGCAAGGCGCGGUACGUGUACCGCGAAGGAGAGUACCCUGAGAAAAAGCAUCGGCUAACUCCGUGCCAGCAGCCGCGGUAAUACGGAGGAUGCGAGCGUUAUCCGGAUUUAUUGGGUUUAAAGGGUGCGCAGGCGGACUGUUAAGUCAGCGGUAAAAUGUCGGUGCUCAACACCGGCCGGCCGUUGAAACUGGCAGCCUUGAGUGAGCGAGAAGUAUGCGGAAUGCGUGGUGUAGCGGUGAAAUGCAUAGAUAUCACGCAGAACUCCGAUUGCGAAGGCAGCAUACCGGCGCUCAACUGACGCUCAGGCACGAAAGCGUGGGUAUCGAACAGGCUUAGAUACCCUGGUAGUCCACGCAGUAAACGAUGAAUGCUCACUGUCCGGGCCGUUUAAGGCCUGGGUGGUCAAG